rnacentral:rRNA from 1 species
UGUGAACGCUGGCGGUAGGCCUAACACAUGCAAGUCGAACGGCAGCACAGUAAGAGCUUGCUCUUACGGGUGGCGAGUGGCGGACGGGUGAGGAAUACAUCGGAAUCUACUUUUUCGUGGGGGAUAACGUAGGGAAACUUACGCUAAUACCGCAUACGACCUACGGGUGAAAGCAGGGGAUCUUCGGACCUUGCGCGAUUGAAUGAGCCGAUGUCGGAUUAGCUAGUUGGCGGGGCAAAGGCCCACCAAGGCGACGAUCCGUAGCUGGUCUGAGAGGAUGAUCAGCCACACUGGAACUGAGACACGGUCCAGACUCCUACGGGAGGCAGCAGUGGGGAAUAUUGGACAAUGGGCGCAAGCCUGAUCCAGCCAUACCGCGUGGGUGAAGAAGGCCUUCGGGUUGUAAAGCCCUUUUGUUGGGAAAGAAAAGCAGCAGGUUAAUACCCCGCUGUUCUGACGGUACCCAAAGAAUAAGCACCGGCUAACUUCGUG